rnacentral:tRNA from 1 species
GCAUUUUUGGCCGAGUGGUUAAGGCGUAACGUUAAGGCCGUUAUGGGACUUAUCCCGCGUGGGUUCGAGCCCCACAGAAUGCA